CGUAGGGUGCAGCGUUAAUCGGAAUUACUGGGCGUAAGACGUGCGCAGGCGGUUUGGUAAGACAGAUGUGAAAUCCCCGGGCUUAACCUGGGAAUUGCAUUUGUGACUGCCCGGCUAGAGUUUGGCAGAGGGGGUAGAAUUCCACGUGUAGCAGUGAAAUGCGUAGAUAUGUGGAGGAAUACCGAUGGCGAAGGCAGCCCCCUGGGUCAAGACUGACGCUCAUGCACGAAAGCGUGGGGAGCAAACAGGAUUAGAUACCCUGGUAGUCCACGCCCUAAACGAUGUCUACUAGUUGUCGGGUCUUGAUUGACUUGGUAACGCAGCUAACGCGUGAAGUAGACCGCCUGGGGAGUACGGUCGCAAGAUUA
rnacentral:rRNA from 1 species